CCACCAAGCCCGCUUCGUCAUGGCUCAACGGCAUCAACGGAUUCCUCCGUUUAUUCUUCCUAUUCAAACUCCCUUGUGCCCAGCCGUACAAGUACUUUGUCGUCGAACUCGUCUGGCGGAUUCUUGUCAGAUUCGAACACUCAAAAGGGAAUUGUGAGUAGAAUUGGGGAACAAUUUCAACGAGCAUCCACCCCACCAAGUGCUGGCGAGACCUAUGGAAGCAUUCGUCGCUCGCUGCGCCCACUUCCACAGGCACCCAAUCGCGCUUCUCCUCCACCAGAACGGGUCAGUCGACAGCGCAGCCAGACAAUGACGAACUCGAUAUUUCAACAUGACAGUAUACCGAAUGGAAAACCUGUCAAGAUCGAGACUUACGAUGAAGGCGGAAGUUUGCGACUACAGGAGAACAUUGGCAGGGCGGAGCUGGAAUCUUCUCCUUACAGUCGACGACAACAUAUCCGUACCCAAUCCACCCCUCAUGUUCCAGCCUUACCAACGUCAUUUACAGCACC
rnacentral:sRNA from 2 species